GCUCGGAUGGUGGAAUUGGUAGACACAAAGCACUUAAAAUGCUUCGGCGUAUGCCGUGCGGGUUCAAGUCCCGCUCCGAGCACCA
rnacentral:tRNA from 1 species